GGGCGCGGUAACACAGAACUAAGGGCUGGUCCCUCCGCGCUUGUGCUACAGCCGCUGAGCUGACUAGAGGUUGGAUGUCGUGGCACCCCUUAAUCUACUCAGAUCUCGGCCUCUGGGCCCAGGUAUGUGCUGUGUGCUAAGUCGCUUCAGUAGUGUCCGGCUCUGCGACCCCAUGGCUCCUUUGUCCAUGGAAUUUUCCAGGAUAAUUCACCACUGGUCCACCUGGGAAUCCGGUGCAAGCAGCUGAAUGGUUCCAGUCCUGACGAUUUCCCAGGAGGUGUACACUACUUAUGGCUGGCAUUCCAGAUAACAGGCCCAACUUGGAGAAAUUCAGCACCUCUAUCCAGGAAGGUUUUAAUUACAAAGGCAUCUUCAGUUCGUGCAACUAAAUGACAGGGGUCCAGGAUAGUAACUGAACCAGGAAUGGCUUCUCUCCUGUGGCCGCAGAUUCAUGCUCUACCAUCUACUAUCCGAACAGCGUCUUCCAAGAUCUUCUAAAUUCCACGGCCCCCAAAGACAAGUGUGAAUAAUUUGCACAGGAGACCUACCUGUAGGUAGACUUUGUCUUUAGAAACUGAUGUGGUUUUAUAGCCCCCAGAAAAUUGUACUUACAGGUGCUUCCACUUCAUGCAAUUAAAUGGAUCUUCUGAAAAUUAUGUCCUCUCCGUAGACAAAGGUAUCUUCUGCCGGGAUAAUCUCAUCUCACCUCAAACCACAUUUCCUCAAACACACCCCACCUGGGUGGACACACAUCCACACCUGCCAUAACUGCUUGUCAAAGGGGAAGCCAAGUCAGGCCUGACUUCUCCGAGCGCUCAUCUAAGAAAAGCUGUCAGGAAGCUAGCAUUCCUGAAGACCCACUGUGUGCUGUGUUCUUCACAAUCAUGAUCUUAGCCUGCCAGCAACUCUCCAAGGUAGUUAGCUCUUACCCUCUUUGUACACAUAAGGGAGCUAAGGCUCAGGGAUUUGGGUGACUUGCCUCUGGUCAUGCAGCUGGUAAGCAGUAGGAAUUGGAUUUGAACCCAGAUAUAUUUGACUCUCUGUCAAACCUCUGUGCUGUGGUAGAUGUAUUUCCUCACCUUCUUCACAUCAGUCUUUCCCCUUCUCCCCUUCAUCCCUCCACCCCCACUGCUGCUACUGCUGC